rnacentral:rRNA from 1 species
AUUGAACGCUGGCGGCAGGCCUAACACAUGCAAGUCGAACGAGUGGCGGACGUGUGAGUAAUGUCGGGGAAACUGCCUUAUAGAGGGGGAUAACUACGAAAAAGGGUAUAUUAUACCGCAUACCAUCAGAUGUGCCCAGAUGGGUUUCGAUUGUUGGUGGGGUAACGGCUCACCAAGGCGACGAGCCCUAGCUGGUCUGAGAGGAUGACCAGCCACACUGGAACUGAGACACGGUCCAGACUCCUACGGGAGGCAGCAGGGGGGAAUAUUGCACAAUGGGCGCAAGCCUGAUGCAGCCAUGCCGCGUGUAUGAAGAAGGCCUUCGGGUUGUAAAGUACUUUCAGCGGGGAGGCGUUACCCGCAGAAGAAGCACCGGCUAACUCCGUGCCAGCAGCCGCGGUAAUAC